CGGGGUGUAGCCUAGUAGCCAAGGCGCCGGCUUCGGGAGUCGGAGAUCAGAGGUGCAAAUCCUCUCACCCCGA
rnacentral:tRNA from 1 species